GCGCCUGUAGCUCAACCGGAUAGAGCACAGGCCUCCGGAGCCUGAGGUGGCAGUUCAAGUCUGCCCAGGCGCA
rnacentral:tRNA from 1 species